GAGGGGGGGGGGGGCGUGCGCCCAGUUGUAAGCAACCCCGACACAUCGAAGUGUAGUUACGUUCGUCUUAGAGCAAUGUCAAGUCAUCGAGAUUGAUUAAUUCGUGGUGUUUAACAAUCCAACACGGCACUAUAUAGGGCUAUGAUCGACGUCGUGUAGCCGGUGACAACGGGCAUCGUGUAGAUGCGCCAUCGAAUUACGUUCGCCCGUUUCCGUGACGUCACGGAAAUGAUGCGUCUUGAUUGAAUGAGAAGAACGUUGCCUCUCGGGAACUACGUUUUGUAGCGGAGUACAAGUGCGCUGCGGCUUUGUUGGUUGAGCUUGCGCGGAAUUCUAGGCUUGUCGUCCGAGUUUACUGGAGGGCUACGCAUUUGUUUGACUACAUCGAGGUUCUUUGACGUGCACACUCGUCGAUGUAUGCGUGAGCGUUCUUGCGCCUCGCCUCCUUCGAAAUGCGGCCGUCGUUGCCGAGAAUCGGACCCGCGACCUCGUGCUCUUCAGCAGAACGCCACAGACACCGAGUGAGCCACUGCGGCGGUGAGUUCAUCAAGGUUCCGGAGUUCUUACCAGCUUCGCGGUCCUCUUGCGGAGGUAGCCCUCCAUCUUGGGAGGCCCCGAAUGGGACUUGCGGAACUGGACCCGGGCGCGGAAGCUCUCAGACUCUUCUCGGCUCCUCAUCUGGACUCCACUGCCCGGCUCGCUCGCCGCCAUAUUGGUGGGCGGUGGCGACUACGCGCCACACUCUCCUUCCGCAUUCUCCUCCCGUCUUGGACGACAGCCUUGCUACUAACGACGUGCUUCCAACUCACAAAAAUUUUGAAGCAUCCGGCUGCAAGUUUCGGUCGCGGAAACCGAGCCUCGACUCGGGCUCUCUGGUGCCCCUGGGAGACCGAUGUCGGGAUCGAAGGCGACGACGUUGACGGGCACGCUGCAAAUUAGGUGUCGGCGGCGCCUGGAUACAACGCAAGACGACGCCGCAGCUCCGGAAGUGGCACGACUCCCAAGGUCGAGCACGUCUUGCAGGUGCGGUGUGGAGGAAAUGACGAGGGCGCAGUCUCGCCGCAACCACGUCGCGGGGCUUCGCCAGUGUUAAAAACCAGACGCCGCCGUGGAAGCCUGGAUGAGGGGGCGCCUUUCAAGGCGUUCGACCGGCUUCGACCGAACGCCGAGGCAAAGCCGACUGCCGCGGUGGAGUGUCGGCUGGGAGACGAGGCGCAUUCGGCCGAAAACGCUUUCGUACGAGUGUGCCGUUAUCGCGGACGUAUUUUUAUUGGCAUUUAUAAAUGAACUUACUACCGGUGCAGUAAUAAAUGCAUUGAAUUCGUGA